UUUUGCUACUACAAUAUAUCAUUUGCACUAUUUUGUUGCUGUUUUUCAUGUAACACACAGAUGUUCUGUAGUUAUAUUCUGAACAUUGCCCCUCUCAUCUCUCUCCUGUCCUUCCCAGUUAAGACAGAACCUGUUAAACAACAGUGAGACUGACUUAGACAGAAGGCAGCGCUGGACAGCCAUGCAGGCGAAGGAAUCAUCUUUUAUGCAGUGAUGGUGAAAUGGACAAACGCACACAUCAGCUGUUCCUUCAUUGAAUAAUAAAAUUGCCAUGCAAUCA